UGUGCUCUUCGGGAAAGAAAAAUUUGGCGGGAAAAUAACCGAAUCGAUGAUCGAGUCGACCUGAGUUGACUCAGGGAUCGCCUCUGACUCCAUAUCCGCGCUGAAUAUUUCGUGGUCAGUUAGUUGUACGACACAAGUUGUUUCUGAGAAACGACAUGUCGGGUUUUCUUAGUGUGAAUGGGUAUUCUGGGUUUAUUGGAAAAGUAGCAUCAUAAACCGACCAGAAAGGAAAAGUAGCCUCAUUUCAUCACUCUUCAAUUUUAGGUUUAUUUAUUCGUAUUCGAUCAUAUAAUUUAAAGAUCAAAGGGAUAGGCACAUAAUCAAUCUGAAGAAUUGGACAACGAAGAUGCUCCUUUUCAUUUUCUAGAGACAUGGUUUCCAUUAUCAAGCCAAGGAAGUCUUUCAAAUAUUAUUUGUUACUUGUGAGAUUCCAAUUUGAUAGGCAUUCUUUGAAAUGUGAGAUAAAUGAUCUCCUUGGUGAAGUUAAAAUGCUUAAGAGCGUAAUGUGUCUGUUUGGCCUUACAUGCACACCACCUGUUUGAUGAAAGUUCCAAGUGACUGAAAAAAAGUGCAAGUUGUUUAACAGUUGUAGUAUAUACCAUUGGCUACCAUAUCAGUCAGAUCAUACAUUUAUUGAUUUUGUAUAUUGCUCCCUUAUCAGUCGUAGCUCUUCAACAUCUCUACAAGACCCUCAACCAACCGCCACAGCUGACGGGUUGGAGAUUGGAUGGUGGGGAUCCUUGCGAUCAAGACUGGAAUGGAGGGUCAAGCUUUGGCUCUGCUAUUACAUUACUGUACCUUAAAGGUCUGAAUCUGACUGGGUACAUCAGUCCUAAGAUCAUAUUAGAGAAUCUUCAAAUGGGCCAGGUCGGGUUCUAUUAAGGCCCACAGCCCGUCUGCGUUUGUAACAACCUGGAGAAGCGGCACGUGCGUAUGGGAAAUUGCAAUUCUCACUGGACUGUACUUGCAGAAUAACCGAUUCACUGGAUCAGUUUCUCACCUAGCUGAACUUCCACUAAUUGAUCUGAAUAUCGAAUGCAAUUAUUUCAGUGGUAUCAUCCCCAGUCAUUUUCAGUCCAUACCAAAUUUAUGGAUCGGGGGAAAUAGUCUUCAUCGUCCAGGGCACAACUAUCCAGUAUCCACCCCCCUCUGGCUCUCUGGAAACGCAGGCAAGUGUCAUUGAACAGAACAUCCACCCCCCUCCAGCAACUCGGUCAAGUGCCAUGGAGAAGAGCAACCCCUCUACCAAAUUAGGUGGACACAAGAAGAGGAGGCCCUGGAGGAAUAGGUUUUAAGUGGGGGCAGUUGGCCCGCCUAGUAUUCGCUAAUUAUGUUUUGUUUCAGGCAAGUAAAAUGUCGAAUUCAGAUAAUUUCUUCCGGAGACUUCCAAUUGUUAAAAUUCAAUAUUAAAGAGUAAACAAUCCAUCUUUUAGGGAGAAAUCCAUAAGCAACUAAUAAGAACUUUGAGUUCUACAAUAUGGUUUGAAAAUCAAGUUUUUUAUUUUUUUGGUCUGAAGUAUGAAAAUCAAGUUAAGCAUGUAAAAAUUUAUAUGGUUAAUUUAUGAAGGAAACUUCAAGUUUUCUUAAAUGGCAUUGUCGAAACUACAAGUUCUAUAUAUGUAUGACUGGUUGUUCAUUA